CUUUCAGCAGCUACCAUCCAUCCUCGGAGGGAUGCUACUGCCCCUGCAGUAUUUCUGACCUCAGCUGUUGGCAGGGCAACACACUGAAUGAUUCAGUAAAGCCAAGUACCUCAGCUAACACAGCGCAAAUCUGCAUGCCUGGUUAUGCCCACGGAUCUUGGAGAGGCCGUAACAUUGAGGGGGAGGAGGAGGUGAGCAGCUUCAACAGCUCCAAUCGGAGCUGCAGCAGAGAAUCAGGGCUGCUUCCUCACCUAAUGGCCUCAGUCCAUUCACCAGACACCUGAGGACUGCAGAGAAGCUCUCUCAACACCAUUUACAAUAUAGAUGGAGAGGAUACAUGUUGUGUGACAGUAAUACGGGACACCAGAGUUUAUUUGUAGUCAGAAGAGACUUAAAGAGGUAUUUGUUUUCCUCAGGAAGAGACG